AUGCUUGAUUUACAUGAGGACUACUUCAUCGAUGGAAGAGGAUGCCAUCACCCUCACUGUCCCAAGCCGGACCAAGUCUUAGGCCUGAAGCCCCACACUGAUGCCGCUGUGAUCACAGUCGUGUUUAUCGAUGAUAACGUCAGUGGGCUCCGAGUUCAGAAAAAAUGGCUUCUGGUACAAAGUGCGAAUAGUUCCGAAUGCAUUACUUGUGAACACAGGAGAUGCAAUCGAGGUACGUGCAUGUGCAGGACGUUUCUUUCAACAAUCUGUUCUUCCUUACAGAAAUGGUUUAUGUUUAAACUUUUUGAUCAGAAUGUGCUAUAUACUGAUACUUUUGUGUCAUCGCAUGCCAUGAGCAGGCCAAUUCAUCUCUUUAAGCUCAAGUGUUACCCCCUUCCUCUACAUUAG
rnacentral:rRNA from 1 species